rnacentral:rRNA from 1 species
UAAUACCCCAUAGAUCAUAGGAUCUGGAAUGACUUAUGGUCCAAAGUUCCGGCGCUUCAGGAUUGGUCUGCGGCCUAUCAGGUAGUAGUGGGUGUAACGGACCCACUAGCCCAUGACGGGUAUGGGCCUUGAGAGAGGGAGCCCAGAGAUGGAUUCUGAGACACGAAUCCAGGCCCUACGGGGCGCAGCAGUCGCGAAAACUUCACAAUGGAGGCAACUCCGAUGAGGGAACUCCUAGUGCUAGUGCUAUUUUUGUGCUAGCUUUUCUAAAGCGUAGAUAACUUUAGGAAGAAGGGCUGGGUAAGACGGGUGCCAGCCGCCGCGGUAAUACCCGCAGCCCAAGUGGUGGUCGAUUUUAUUGAGUCUAAAACGUUCGUAGCCGGUUUGGUAAAUCCUUGGGUAAAUCGAGGCGCUUAACGUUUCGAAUUCCGAGGAGACUGCCAAACUUGGGACCGGGAGAGGCAAGAGGUACUUUUGGGGUAGGGGUAAAAUCCUGUAAUCCUAAAAGGACCACCGGUGGCGAAGGCGUCUUGCUAGAACGGAUCCGACGGUGAGGGACGAAGCCCUGGGUCGCAAACGGGAUUAGAUACCCCGGUAGUCCAGGGUGUAAACGCUGCAGACUUGGUGU